GUGACUUUGUCGGAGGAACCUGACAGAGUUAAAUGGCUUCUUAUCUCUUCUGGGAACUUUUCGGCUAAAUCUCUGUACCAUUAUCUUGUUGCUCGACAAGUUGUUUUCCCUUAUAAGUUGCUAUGGAGAAUGAAGAUGCCGUUGAAAAUUAAAGCCUUCUCCUGGUUAGUGAUCAAGAAUAGGAUCCUAACCAAAGAUAACUUAAGUAAAAAAGGGUGGAAAGGUGCUAAGCAUUGUGAGUUUUGUGACAGUAUAGAGAAUGUGGAUCACCUAUUCUUUUCUUGUUCCCUGUCUAGGUUCUUAUGGAGUAUUGUGGGGUGCUCCUUGGGUAACCAAAGAUCCCCCGUGUCUUUCCUUGAUUUAUGCCAGAAUUAG
rnacentral:rRNA from 1 species